AGAGUUUGAUCAUGGCUCAGGACGAACGCUGGCGGCGUGCUUAACACAUGCAAGUCGAGCGGAAAGGCCCCUUUGGGGGUACUCGAGCGGCGAACGGGUGAGUAUCACGUGAGUAAUCUGCCCUUCACUUCGGGAUAGCCUUGGGAAACUGAGAUUAAUACCGGAUAUGACCAUGUCACGCAUGUGGUGUGGUGGAAAGAUUUUUUGGUGGGGGAUGUGCUCGCGGCCUAUCAGCUUGUUGGUGGGGUAAUGGCCUACCAAGGCUUCGACGGGUAGCCGGCCUGAGAGGGUGACCGGCCACACUGGGACUGAGACACGGCCCAGACUCCUACGGGAGGCAGCAGUGGGGAAUAUUGGACAAUGGGCGGAAGCCUGAUCCAGCAACGCCGCGUGAGGGAUGACGGCCUUCGGGUUGUAAACCUCUUUCACCUCGGACGAAGCGCAAGUGACGGUACGAGGGGAAGAAGCACCGGCCAACUACGUGCCAGCCGCCGCGGUAAUAC
rnacentral:rRNA from 1 species